rnacentral:rRNA from 1 species
UACGGGGGGGGCAAGCGUUGUUCGGAAUUACUGGGCGUAAAGGGUUCGUAGGUGGCUCGCUAAGUCAGACGUGAAAUCCCUCAGCUUAACUGGGGAACUGCGUCUGAGACUGGCGAGCUUGAGUGCAGGAGAGGAACGCGGAAUUCCAGGUGUAGCGGUGAAAUGCGUAGAGAUGGGGGAGAACACUCGUGGCGAAGGCGGCCAGCUAGACCAGUUCUGACGCUGAGACGCGAAAGCGUGGGGAGCAAACAGG